rnacentral:rRNA from 1 species
UACAGAAGGGGCAAGCGUUGUCCGGAAUUAUUGGGCGUAAAGAGCGUGUAGGCGGUCCGGUAAGUCGGCUGUGAAAGUCCAGGGCUCAACCCUGGGAUGCCGGUCGAUACUGCCGGACUAGAGUCCGGAAGAGGCGAGUGGAAUUCCCGGUGUAGCGGUGAAAUGCGCAGAUAUCGGGAGGAACACCUAUGGCGAAGGCAGCUCGCUGGGACGUUACUGACGCUGAGACGCGAAAGCGUGGGGAGCAAACAGG